ACUCGCACGCACGCACGAGCGAGCGAAGCCUCCAGGUGCCCUCCAUCAUCUCGCUACGAGGACGAGAACCAUAUGCCCCGGCCGCCAUCGCCGCCACCGAUCCCUUUGCCGCCGCCGUUCUCUUCGCGUGAUAUUUUCCACCGUUUCUUUAUCAGCCGCUCGCAUCGCAUCGCAACGCACCCGUCCCCGAUCCCCUGACCAAAGGAAGGCACAGCCCUUGUCCUCUCUUCUCUAGGGUUUCAGCGUCGCCAUCUCCGCCCUGCCAGAAAGAUAUCAGGAGAGGCCGGUCCAGAGCUAGAAGAAGAAGGAGAAGAGGAUGUCCAUGGCUCAUCAGGCGGCGGCGGGCGGCAGCGACACGAGGCUGCGAACGUGUUCGUGGAUGUCCUGGCGUGGAAGACGAGCAAGGAGGGUGUGCGCGGCCACUUCGAGCGCUUCGGCGAGAUCCGCGAGGCCGUCAUCAUCGCCGACAAGGGCACCAGCAGAUCCAAUGGCGGCGGAUUCGUUACGUUCUGGGAGGCUGAGGCGCCAUUGGGGUUUGCUUGGGAACGUACAGGUAACUGCAACCUCUCCUGCCUCAGGGUCCAGAGGUCCAAGGCGCCACAAGCACAACCAACUGCCUCUGCAUCCAUAUGCUGGUAAUUAAUUUGUUCGAUGCUUUGAUUAACUUACUUUGAUUGUUAGUUGUUGACCAUGAGCAAGAAUCUGUCAAUUAAUUUGAUGCUUUAGUUAACUUGUAAUUUGCUGAAUUAUUAUUGGUUAAGCACUGUGCAGGUCUUCGUUUGAUUGUUAGUCGGUGAACAUAAGCAAGAAGCUAGCUAGGUGUGCGUGCAUGCCACACACAUAUAUCAGUUGUUGCAGGUUAAAAUCAUCUGCCAACUCUCUUUUUGAAAAAAAAUCGGUCAACUUAAUUAAUCAAUCAUGCCGAAUUGUAGACGCAUGAUGUUUCUUCAUCUCAGUUAUAUCUUCCGAUAUUUACAGAAACUUCCGAAUCUCAGUUGUACCUUCCAGUUUUAAUGAAUCAUAGUUGCUUGAAUAAUAUCUACUCCUAAAGUUUUCUUCGAAGGUGCUCAUCACAUCUGUCGAUACACAAGAUGGAGGUGCUCCUAUUGAUGGUUUACACCGGAUAGUUUCCAGACCUUUAUUACAAGAUGGACGAGCUUGGCUUCUCAGCCAGUACUCUGCCUCAUCAACAGUUUGAUGUCCCUUUGCAUGAAGUUAGGCCAACAUCAGAAGAUUCGUAGCCUUUUUGAGGAGAUGAAGGUGGAGAAUAUUAAGCCGGAUAACCUCACAUGCUGCCUUCUAAUGAUCAGCCGUGCGGCAUUGAACAAGAUAGAUGUUGGAGAAGUUUUAAAAGAAAUGCAAGAAAAUGAUGUAGUUCCAGGGUGGUCUGCAUAUAGCAUGGCUUCUAUCUACCUGAGUGCUGGUUUGGUUUAAAAAAACAGUCUGCUCUGAAGGAACUCGAGGGCCUUGAUUUUAGAAGGAGUUGUUAUGGACCAUCUGGUUUUCUUCAUGAAUCCACACCACCGGAAAUUCUGAUGGAGACCUUCCACCUGACGUCCUUCUUACUACAACCUCACAUGCUGCCUUCUAAUGACGAGCCACUACAUUUGGUUACUCAGAUUCUUCUACAUGGUGACUAUUGACGCAAAAGGAUUGCACUUCCAUCUCAAUCACUGCAUUUGGUUACUCAGAUUGCAAGUUAUUGUGCAUAUCUACUGUUAUCACACUUUUCAUUCCUUUGUGUUGAUGUAGAGGUACAAACAAAGGUACAAAGUGAUAAGGGCACAUGAUCUUCUAGAUUUUUUACACUCCUCUUGGCAGGCAACGAAUUAUCUUUUUUUCAAUCAGCGCCACGACGGCCGCGGCCUCCCCGCCGCCGACGCUCCAGAUCCGCCCGUCGUUGACCCCCUCUACAUCAGUGAUCGAUCAAGGCAGGGGGCAUGGCGAUAUCCAUCUUUCCGCGUGUAUGGCGGCCGGUGCCCGCGUCCGUGUAUCCUGCGCCAAGGGUGUCGUAUUCAUCUCAAGGAGGCCCUCUCAGUCCUUCCCAGCGACGACGAUGAGUCGGGAUUCCUCCUCCCACAGAUCCGUUGAUCCAUGGUUAGAUCUCAAGGAGGAGGGGCGUGAGGCGAUUGCCACCGUCAGUGCCUGCACUGGAAGGUCUCCGGCACCUGCUCCAACCAGAUCCAGCCGGACCCGUCCUGCGCCUGCCAUCCCAUUGCGAUAUGUGUGCUGCUCCUGUUGUGCACUUGCUGAUUAAGCCGCUGCUUGUGCAAAAUAUGCCUACUGCUACCCGGGCUCACAUGACCCAGAGGAGGAAGGAGCUGCGCAAGGAAUCACUGCCAGAAGACUCAAAUACGAGUUUGAAGAGUCCUGGACUAUAGACCAAGUUCCGCAAGGAAGCAGCAAUGCGAGCUAGCCGAGGGUUCAGACUAUUUGCGCUUUGAUUCUCGCUGAUUCAUGAUUUUGACCCAACCAAGCAGCUUUGGCGAUCACGGAGGAGAACCCGCUGUUCCUAGGGGCCUGACGCACGGUCGAUCACAAGUCCUCCAACGGGUGGAGCUGGUUCAGGAUUUGACACAUCUCCACUUGCAAGGCUACAACCAGAUAUAGUCCUUUAGAUUGAUUAAUUACACACACGUGCAAGGAAACAUAUCACUUGAAAUGUGUGAUUUGCAUCGAGAAGAACACCGAGAUAGGAUCAGAGCAUGCGCACUGCUUUAUAGUCUACAUCAACAAACCGUUGGCGAGCAUGUUGAGACCAUGAGCCCACGUGGGACCUCCAGAGAACUUGAAAAUCACCGACAUUGCCAGCAAGGUUGUGGUGAAUUAAAGCAGAGAUUUAAUCAAUCCAGAGAUGUUGUAAAUUGAUACAAUUGAACCACAUACUUGGAGAGACGAUGCCGUUGACUUCCGCAACAAUGAGCAAGGUGGCGAAUACCUGCUAGAGAGUGGAGAACUUCUAGCACCACUCGACAGCCAGAUCAUCAACCAUGUAAGGUCCACUGGGUCCAGAUGUGCAAGGCAAACAUGCAGAGGUCUUCGAGAGGCUUGUGCAGACGGAGCUUACAGGCAGAUCCAAGCGGAUACACCAGCCAUAGCUGGCCCUAUGCUUGGUGGCGGCAUUUAUGAGCCUGAGCUUGACAUGAACGUGAGGUAUAGAUGAUUGACGAAGAACGACUUUGUUGUAUCCAUCGACGCCAUACCCUUUGCCAAAACAAACGACCUUCUCUUGUGUCCAUGAACUUUUGUUAGCGUUUAGUGAAUCAUGCAAUAGCUACAAGAUAGCUUGUUGGGGAGUUUCCCCGGUGCUGGUGUUACAUGUAUGUACUUUGUGUCUGAAAUGGAUGGAUGGGUGUUGUACUGCUGCUGAGAAAGGAUGGAGGGAGGAAAGGAGGAGUACUUGCAUCUUUAAUUUUAUCUUGCAAGUUUCUGCCUUCCUAAAAAUACUAGAUUUGAUAUUCAAUCAUAUACGAGUAUUCAUGAAAGAACUUGCUUUCUUUUCUACUACACAACAGGUCUACAGUUCCAACAUCU